UCUGAGAGGAUGAGAAAGGACAGUAUCUCAGGAAUAAGUCUCGGCUAACUACGUGCCAGCAGCCGCGGUAAAACGUAGGAGGCAAGCGUUAUCCGGGAUUUACUGGGCGUAAAGCGUGUGCAGGUGGUUUGGUAAGUUGGAUGUGAAAGCUCCUGGCUCAACUGGGAGAGGUCGUUCAAUACUACCAGACUUGAGAGCAGUAGAGGGAGGUGGAAUUCCCGGUGUAGUGGUGAAAUGCGUAGAUAUCGGGAGGAACACCAGUGGCGAAAGCGGCCUCCUGGACUGUUUCUGACACUCAGACACGAAAGCUAGGGUAGCAAACGGGAUUAGAGACCCCGGUAGUCCUAGCUGUAAACGAUGUGAACUUGGCGUCGGCGGGUUCAAAGCCGUCGGUGCCGAAGCUAACGCGAUAAGUUCACCGCCUGGGGACUACGGCCGCAAGGUUAAAACUCAAAGGAAUUGACGGGUCCCCGCACAAGCAGCGGAGCGUGUGGUUUAAUUCGAUGUUACACGAAGAACCUUACCCAGGUUUGACAUGUAGGUGGUAGGGAAGCGAAAGCAGACCGACCCGCAAGGGAGCCUACACAGGUGUUGCAUGGCUGUCGUCAGCUCGUGUCGUGAGAUGUUCGGUUAAGUCCGCCAACGAGCGCAACCCUCGCCGUAUGUUACAAGUGUCAUACGGGACCGCCGGUAUCAAGCCGGAGGAAGGUGGGGAUGACGUCAAGUCAGCAUGGCCUUUAUAUCUGGGGCUACACACACGCUACAAUGGCCGAUACAAUGGGUUGCUAAGCCGCGAGGUAGAGCCAAUCCCCAAAGUCGGCCUCAGUUCAGAUCACAGGCUGCAACUCGCCUGUGUGAAGUCGGAGUUGCUAGUAAACGCGCGUCAGCUAUAGUGCGUUGAAUACGUUCCCGGGGAUUGUACACACCGCCCGUCACGUCAUGGGAGCUGGCAACACCUGAAGCCGGUAGCCUAACCGCAAGGAGGGCGCCGUCGAGGGUGGGGUCGGUGACUGGGACGAAGUCGUAACAAGGUAG
rnacentral:rRNA from 1 species